rnacentral:lncRNA from 15 species
UGUUGUUGCAUUAUCAAUCACUUCUAUAGGACAAUAAUGAGGAAGCGUUAAAAAGACAUAACGGAAACUUAUCUUUUUACUCUCCUCUCAAAAACUUAGCCAACUUUCUUCUUCUUCUUCAUGUCUUUCGGGUCUGGUCCCACAGGACUGUUCCAUCCCUCAGGUCGGGUCCCCCUAGUGGCCUGGCGCACUUCUGUUUUGUCGAGUGAAUUUGCAGCAUUUAUCUGUUGGAGUUGUUUUGUUGUUUUGUGUGUUUUUGGUAUUUGCAGCAUUUUUCUUUGGCAGUUCUUUUGUGGGUUUGUAAGUUUUUGCUUCUGCUUCGUUUCUGUGAUUGGAGCAUUUUUCUGUUGCUGCGUUUUUCUGUUGCAUUUGUUUUUAUGUGUUUGUGUGUUUUUGGUUUUGCAUCAUUCCCGUGUUUGCAGCGUUUUGCCGUUUGCGGCCGUUUGCCCUUGACGGCCACUGUACCUAUUUAUUUAAUUUUAGCUGCAAGUUAGAUGAGAAGAUUGACACCACUCUUGUGUCCGUACAGUAAACAUUAAGUUACAACUAGGAGACAUUAGCUUAGCUUGACAUAAAGACUGGAAACGAGAGGAAACAACUUGGUUCUGUGAAAAUACGUCAUUCUUGCCUCAUGCUUCGAGUCAGCGUUCACAGAGUCAGCCAACAUUAAAAUGAAGUAUUAACUUGUUAAAAAUACAUACAUUUAACAGAUAUUAACCAUUAACCAUACAGAAAACCCAUCAUGGUAAAAAAAUAUGUUUAUUUAGCAAAUAAACACAUUAAUGCACAGUUGAUAAGCACUACAGCAUACAGUAGAUAUUCAUUUCCACUCCGUCACAUAGUGUUGCAGUUCUGGAAAAGCUUGUUUCAAACUUCUGUUUUUGCACGAGUGAGUUUUCAUCAUGUCGACGCGCUGUCCGUUUUCUUAACAUGUAAUCUGGGUUUGGGAUUCUUAGCAAGCUUACCCGUAUGAAAAGACCACAUCCUCCUAUUCUUCCCCUACAGCUCCGAAAUGUCUUCUUCAUUCCUUUCUCUGCAGUUCCAUCAUCAGGAGGAAGUCCAUCAUCUGUCACCAGAGCGGCUGCGUCAGUAGAAGUGAAGGCAGUGAUGAGUAGGAAAACCUGCAGACACAACAGGACCAGCAGAACACCUUUGUUCAUGGUUGAUGAAGUGAAGAGUUUGAAACACACACAGGUCAUAAUAUACUCACUGCGAACCAACCACAUGCAUGGAAGAAGAGGAAGCAACAACGCUGCUUUACAUUAUCAGAAAGACGUCAGAGAGAAAUUAAACAGAAAUGUUAUGAUUGCUUGUGGUUUUAAACAGAAUACUUACAACACCUUUGCAUCAGGAACCAAAUUUGAAUAAAUAAUAAAUGAUGCAACCAUCAAUAUGAAUGUCACAUUUAUAAAUCAAUUUAAAUCUUAGUUGAAAUUACACAAGAGUGAGCUAGAAAUAAUAAUACUCAGACAUACUAAUCAGUUUACCUUUCUUGGUGUGUGAGCCAAACAAACACAAAAACCUUUUGUUAGAUAUAUAUUUUUGGGGAGCUUUAAGCCUUUUAUUGGCAAGGACGGGACUGAAGAUUGACAGGAAAGGUGGGGAGAGAGAGAGGGGAUUACACGCAGCAGGGGGCCACAAAUCAGAUUGAAGUCUUCUCGAAAUAUCUCGCUCCCGGCACUGCGAGGGUCAACUCUCUCUCUACAUGCCAACAGACUGAUUAUUAAUCCAACUGUGGGUCAGACUCUGAGAAUGUGGAUCCAGUUCAGGAGAAAUCCUGGGUUCCAACUUUCUUCUAUUACAAGUUCCCAAAAGCCUUUUUUAAAGAAACUUCUCACAAGGUCCCUCUAAGCACCUUUUUAUCCCAUCCAUGCAAUAUGUAACAUACCAGGAUUAGCACCCAUUUAUAUAAUAUCUGCUGUCUGUGAUAUAAUAUCAGGCCUGAAAUCUGUUCCUUUAACUAAAUAAAGGCAGUCAGAAAAAGACAAAGCUGAUUUAUUUUUUUUUAUAUUUCCCAGGUGAAAGCAUCAAGAGACAUGUGGUUCAAAGUUCAAUUGUGAAUGUUAGUUAUAUAGUUGAUUUCUUGUUAAAGAUUUUAUAUUGGUUUUUA